rnacentral:rRNA from 1 species
AUGGACGUAUUAGCCACCACGUGGCUUAAAUGGGGCAUUCGUCUUCAGCGCAACGGCGGGUGCAAUGGCAGUGCAGGUGGCCCAUCGCAGCACCUUCUGUUGCGAGUAGUGGCUCGUGGGUCUGCAAAGACGAUGCGGCGAACGGCGGCCUUCGACUUCGAGGCAGCUGCGGCGGCGGGAACCACCGUCCGAGGUGCGGUGGUCACAAUAGCACUGAAGGUGUGUUCCAUGGCAUUCAUGGCGGUGGUGGAAGAGCAGAGGCAGGGCGACUGCAUGUGUGAAGUUUCAGCUGACGAUUGGGGCGUCACGCUGCCGUUUUUGCAUUUGGGCAGUCGUGUGUGUGAUGUAAAUUUACAUCACUUGGGGCUGGUUUUUUGA